rnacentral:rRNA from 1 species
AGAGUUUGAUCCUGGCUCAGAAUCAACGCUGGCGGCGUGCCUAAUACAUGCAAGUCGAACGCGAAAGUUCCGCAAGGAAUGAGUAGAGUGGCAAACGGGUGAGUAACGCGUGGGUGACCUGCCUUCGAGUGGGGGAUAACGUUCCGAAAGGGACGCUAAUACCGCAUGACAUCCUGCCUUUCAAGAGGUGGCGAUCAAAG